CCUACGGGGGGCAGCAGUGAGGAAUAUUGGUCAAUGGGCGUAAGCCUGAACCAGCCAAGUCGCGUGAGGGAUGAAGGUUCUAUGGAUCGUAAACCUCUUUUAUAAGGGAAUAAAGUGUGGGACGUGUCCUGUUUUGUAUGUACCUUAUGAAUAAGGAUCGGCUAACUCCGUGCCAGCAGCCGCGGUAAUACGGAGGAUCCGAGCGUUAUCCGGAUUUAUUGGGUUUAAAGGGUGCGUAGGCGGCAUUUUAAGUCAGCGGUGAAAGUCUGUGGCUCAACCAGAGAAUUGCCGUGGGAACUGGGAGGCUUGAGUUUGUUUAAGGCAGGCGGAAUGCGUGGUGUAGCGGUGAAAUGCUUAGAUAUCACGAAGAACCCCGAUUGCGAAGGCAGCCUGCCAAGCCAUGACUGACGCUGAUGCACGAAAGCGUGGGGAUCAAACAGGAUUAGAUACCCCUGUAGUC
rnacentral:rRNA from 1 species